UCCCGGUGUCCCCGGUGGCCCCAGAGGGAUACUGGCGGUCCCAGGGGGCCCCCAGUGUCCCCUCACCUCCUCGUUGAAGAGCCGUCCGGCGCUGUCCUUCUUGGCCAGGUCCAGGUACUGCACCUGGCCGGCCGAGAAGCCCACGAGCAGCGCCAGGGCGUCGCUGCCCGCGGUGUCGCUGCCCGCCGUGAACUGGUUGAAGUCGUGGCAGGUGGGCUGCGUGCCCUUGUACACGCGCUUGUCGAUGGGGCGCUGCAGGUCCAGCGGCUGCGGGGACAGCGCGGCCACGUCACCGGCACUGUCACUGUCACCGGCACGGCACUGUCACCAGCACUGUCACUGACACCGGCAUUGUCACUGUCACCGGCACUGUCACCGGCACUGGCAUUGUCACUGUCACUGUCACUGGCAUUGGCACUGUCACUGUCACUGUCAUUGUCACUGGCCUGGUGGCACUGGCAUUGUCACCGUCACUGUCAUUGUCACCGUCACUGUCACUACCAUUGUCACUGUCAUUGGCACUGUCACUGUCACUGUCAUUGCCAUUGUCACUGUCACCAGCCUGGUGGCACUGGCAUUGUAACUGGCAUUGUCACUGGUAUUGUCACUGUCAUUGUCACUGUCACUGUCACUGCCACCGGCCUGCUGGCGCCGUCACUGUCACCAUCACUGUCAUUGGCACUGCCACUGCCACCAGCACGCUGGCACUGGCACUGUCACCAGCCUGGUGGCACUGGCACUGUCAUUGUCACUGUCAUUGUCACCCCCGGUGUUCCUCGAGGACUCUGUGCCCACCCUGUGUCACCACUGGGGAUGUCUGGACGGUCCUGGGAGGUCUGGAGUCACUGUCCCUGUCCCUGGGGUGACUGUCACUGUCCCUGGGGUCACUGUCACUGUGCCUGAGGUCACUGUCACCAACCCUGGGGUCACUGCCACCAGCCCUGGGGUCACUGUCCCUGUCCCUGGGGUCACUGUCACUGUCCCUGGGGUCACUGUCACCAACCCUGGGGUCACUGUCACCAGUCCUGAGGUCACCUUUUCCCCCCAUUCCCCCCAUUAUUCCUCAAUUCCCCCAUCACCCCCAAACCCCCGGGGGGG
rnacentral:lncRNA from 12 species